rnacentral:rRNA from 1 species
GACGAACGCUGGCGGCGUGCUUAACACAUGCAAGUCGAACGGAAAGGCCCUGCUUUUGUGGGGUGCUCGAGUGGCGAACGGGUGAGUAACACGUGAGUAACCUGCCCUUGACUUUGGGAUAACUUCAGGAAACUGGGGCUAAUACCGGAUAGGAGCUCCUGCUGCAUGGUGGGGGUUGGAAAGUUUCGGCGGUUGGGGAUGGACUCGCGGCUUAUCAGCUUGUUGGUGGGGUAGUGGCUUACCAAGGCUUUGACGGGUAGCCGGCCUGAGAGGGUGACCGGCCACAUUGGGACUGAGAUACGGCCCAGACUCCUACGGGAGGCAGCAGUGGGGAAUAUUGCACAAUGGGCGGAAGCCUGAUGCAGCAACGCCGCGUGCGGGAUGGCGGCCUUCGGGUUGUAAACCGCUUUCGCCUGUGACGAAGCGUGAGUGACGGCAAUGGGUAAAGAAGCACCGGCUAACUACGUG